GCGCCCGUAGCUCAGUAGGAUAGAGCACCAGAUUCCUAAUCUGGGGGUCGUGGGUUCAAAUCCCGCCGGGCGCACCA
rnacentral:tRNA from 1 species